rnacentral:rRNA from 1 species
GACGUAGGGCGCGAGCGUGUCCGGAUUUAUUGGGCGUAAAGAGCUCGUAGGCGGCUUGUCGCGUCGAAUGUGAAAACCCACGGCUCAACUGUGGGCUUGCAUUCGAUACGGGCAGGCUAGAGUUCGGUAGGGGAGACUGGAAUUCCACGUGUAGCGGUGAAAUGCGUAGAGAUGUGGAGGAACACCAGUGGCGAAGGCGGCUUUCUGGUCUGUAACUGACGCUGAGGCGCGAAAGCGUGGGGAGCAAACAGG